GCUGGGCCUCUUGGGCUCCCCUCCCCCUGCCCCAGCCCCUGGCUGCAGGCAUCUUUCCCGUUCCGAGAACCGAGCUGGCGCCCUAGGUUCUGAGAGGCUGUAAGGGGGCUGCGAAGCCAUUGUGGGUCAGGCUGCCCCAGCUGGGUGCCCUGGCACUGGGGAGGUGGAUCUGAGGAAUGUUGGGGUGGCUGUGAGGCAGGGCUUGCUGGAAUGGCCGCCCCCUCCUUCCCUUCAGCUGGCCGGGAGGACAGCUUGGAGAGGAAGCCAGGCCGGCAGGUAGCAGAGAAAGACAUCGGAUCCAGAGGGAGCAGCAGAGAAAGCAAACAAACAGGGCUUUGUGUGGCUGCAGAUUGGCGUCUCAGAAGGGAAGCCAGGCCUGUGGUAGUGGGGAGGAGGGACUGGGAGAGCAGGCCAUCGCUCUGGGCCCGAGAUAGGCGGCCCGGCCAGCCCUAGCCAGGCGGCCCGGGAGCAGGGAGUGCCACUGUGUGUGGACGGGCAUCCGGAGUCACAGCCUGGCUGAGUCCCAGCUCUGCCACCGCACUCCCUAACAGAUCUGGGCUUGUUUGCCCAGGGAACCUGGGCAGAGUCACUCACAUGCACGACUCGGGAAGAUAGUCAUCUGGCCAAACUGGCCUGGCCCGGUCCGUGUGAGUUCCCAUGCUGCUCUUGCCCCUCAUUGUUGCCGGGAGAACACAGGCAAGGAGGCAGCCAGGUUGGGGCCGAGAUUGAUGCUCUGGACAUGAUUUAUUUAUCUGGAUUUGCUCUUCUGGGCUGGGCACCGCCUGCCGUGUGGAAUUUAACCAAGUGGCAAGAUGGGGCCUCAAGACAUCUUUCUGCAACAACCUUGACUCGGGAAUGCCCGCGGCACUGCCCCAGGGGACGCCGGGAGCCACGGCACAGCAAGGCUGCCUCAGGCCCCACCUGCCAUUUCGUCUUAGGCCUUCUGCUCUCACAGAGCCACCUCCCAGGCCAAAGCAACCCUGGAAGAGAUGAAAUCUGAGGACCAGUCCCCGUUUUCCCCCACGUUGUAGAGGGAGGCACGCAUUCGUUCACUUGUUCAUUCGCUCAGCCGGCCUUUCUUGAGUUCCUAUUAACUUCCAGGCGUUAGACAAAGUGGCAGACUGGCUGUCCUCUAGCCACGUCUGGCUCAGACCCAUUUUGAAGGCCCACCAAGGGUUUGGGGGAAGAAAAUCUAAACAAGUUGCCAGUGAGUCAUCCUUGGGCGAUGCUACCCCCAGUUUCCAGUUUACUGCCCUUCUGUGUUAUUGCAACCUGCUCCCCCAAGGCCGUGAUUGGUGGCACUGGCUAUAUAGCCUGACACCCAGUGGGGGGGGGGGGGAGAGGGGAUGGAACGGCCUCCGCCUGGCCACAGCCCCCUCCUCCUUCCUGGUAACCCCUCCUGGCUGUGUGUGAGUUCCUGGUUACCAGCCCGGUCUCAGGAGCCAGCCCGCCCAGGUGCCAAUCCUGCCGUUGGCCUUUUACCAACCGUGGGACCGGAGAUACAUUAAAGUCCUUUCUCCCAA